rnacentral:rRNA from 1 species
CCGGGUUCCGCCCGCGUCUCGCCUGCCAAAAGCCCCCUAAUUCUGUGUUCUGUGUCGUCUGAGUACUAUAUAAUAAGUUAAAACUUUCAACAACGGAUCUCUUGGUUCUGGCAUCGAUGAAGAACGCAGCGAAAUGCGAUAAGUAAUGUGAAUUGCAGAAUUCAGUGAAUCAUCGAAUCUUUGAACGCACAUUGCGCCCCUUGGUAUUCCGGGGGGCAUGCCUGUUCGAGCGUCAUUUCAACCCUCACGCGUAGCGUGGUCUUGGGCUCUGCCGGCAACGGCUGGCCUUAAAAUCAGUGGCGGUGCCAUCGAGUUCUACGCGUAGUAAUAAACCCCUCGCGUGUGAGUCUCGGCGGUCGCUUGCCAGCAACCCCCAAAUUUUUAUGGUUGACCUG